GGUUAAGUUAGAAAGGGCGCACGGUGGAUGCCUUGGCACUAGGAGCCGAUGAAGGACGGGACGAACACCGAUAUGCUUCGGGGAGCUGUAAGCAAGCUUUGAUCCGGAGAUUUCCGAAUGGGGAAACCCACCACUCGUAAUGGAGUGGUAUCCAUAUCUGAAUACAUAGGAUAUGAGAAGGCAGACCCGGGGAACUGAAACAUCUAAGUACCCGGAGGAAGAGAAAGCAAAUGCGAUUCCCUGAGUAGCGGCGAGCGAAACGGGACCAGCCCAAACCAAGAGGCUUGCCUCUUGGGGUUGUAGGACACUCUGUACGGAGUUACAAAGGAACGAGGUAGAUGAAGAGGUCUGGAAAGGCCCGCCAUAGGAGGUAACAGCCCUGUAGUCAAAACUUCGUUCUCUCCUGAGUGGAUCCUGAGUACGGCGGAACACGUGAAAUUCCGUCGGAAUCCGGGAGGACCAUCUCCCAAGGCUAAAUACUCCCUAGUGACCGAUAGUGAACCAGUACCGUGAGGGAAAGGUGAAAAGCACCCCGGAAGGGGAGUGAAAGAGAUCCUGAAACCGUGUGCCUACAAGUAGUCAGAGCCCGUUAACGGGUGAUGGCGUGCCUUUUGUAGAAUGAACCGGCGAGUUACGAUCCCGUGCAAGGUUAAGCAGAAGAUGCGGAGCCGCAGCGAAAGCGAGUCUGAAUAGGGCGAAUUGAGUACGUGGUCGUAGACCCGAAACCAGGUGAUCUACCCAUGUCCAGGGUGAAGUUCAGGUAACACUGAAUGGAGGCCCGAACCCACGCACGUUGAAAAGUGCGGGGAUGAGGUGUGGGUAGGGGUGAAAUGCCAAUCGAACCUGGAGAUAGCUGGUUCUCUCCGAAAUAGCUUUAGGGCUAGCCUCAAGGUAAGAGUCUCGGAGGUAGAGCACUGAUUGGACUAGGGGCCCCUACCGGGUUACCGAAUUCAGUCAAACUCCGAAUGCCGAUGACUUAUCCUUGGGAGUCAGACUGCGAGUGAUAAGAUCCGUAGUCGAAAGGGAAACAGCCCAGACCGCCAGCUAAGGUCCCAAAGUAUACGUUAAGUGGAAAAGGAUGUGGAGUUGCUUAGACAACCAGGAUGUUGGCUUAGAAGCAGCCACCAUUUAAAGAGUGCGUAAUAGCUCACUGGUCGAGUGACUCUGCGCCGAAAAUGUACCGGGGCUAAACGUAUCACCGAAGCUGCGGACUGUUCUUCGAACAGUGGUAGGAGAGCGUUCUAAGGGCUGUGAAGCAAGACCGGAAGGACUUGUGGAGCGCUUAGAAGUGAGAAUGCCGGUAUGAGUAGCGAAAGAGGGGUGAGAAUCCCCUCCACCGAAUGCCUAAGGUUUCCUGAGGAAGGCUCGUCCGCUCAGGGUUAGUCGGGACCUAAGCCGAGGCCGAAAGGCGUAGGCGAUGGAUAACAGGUUGAUAUUCCUGUACCACCUCCUCACCAUUUGAGCAAUGGGGGGACGCAGGAGGAUAGGGUAAGCGCGGUAUUGGAUAUCCGCGUCCAAGCAGUUAGGCUGGGAAAUAGGCAAAUCCGUUUCCCGUGAAGGCUGAGCUGUGAUGGCGAGCGAAUUAUAGUAGCGAAGUUCCUGAUUCCACACUGCCAAGAAAAGCCUCUAGCGAGGUGAGAGGUGCCCGUACCGCAAACCGACACAGGUAGGCGAGGAGAGAAUCCUAAGGUGAUCGAGAGAACUCUCGUUAAGGAACUCGGCAAAAUGACCCCGUAACUUCGGGAGAAGGGGUGCUCUGUUAGGGUGCAAGCCCGAGAGAGCCGCAGUGAAUAGGCCCAGGCGACUGUUUAGCAAAAACACAGGUCUCUGCGAAGCCGUAAGGCGAAGUAUAGGGGCUGACGCCUGCCCGGUGCUGGAAGGUUAAGAGGAGCGCUUAGCGUAAGCGAAGGUGCGAAUUGAAGCCCCAGUAAACGGCGGCCGUAACUAUAACGGUCCUAAGGUAGCGAAAUUCCUUGUCGGGUAAGUUCCGACCCGCACGAAAGGCGCAACGAUCUGGGCACUGUCUCAACGAGAGACUCGGUGAAAUUAUAGUACCUGUGAAGAUGCAGGUUACCCGCGACAGGACGGAAAGACCCCGUGGAGCUUUACUGCAGCCUGAUAUUGAAUGUUGGUACAGCUUGUACAGGAUAGGUAGGAGCCUUGGAAACCGGAGCGCCAGCUUCGGUGGAGGCAUCGGUGGGAUACUACCCUGGCUGUAUUGACCUUCUAACCCGCCGCCCUUAUCGGGCGGGGAGACAGUGUCAGGUGGGCAGUUUGACUGGGGCGGUCGCCUCCUAAAAGGUAACGGAGGCGCCCAAAGGUUCCCUCAGAAUGGUUGGAAAUCAUUCGCAGAGUGUAAAGGCACAAGGGAGCUUGACUGCGAGACCUACAAGUCGAGCAGGGACGAAAGUCGGGCUUAGUGAUCCGGUGGUUCCGCAUGGAAGGGCCAUCGCUCAACGGAUAAAAGCUACCCCGGGGAUAACAGGCUUAUCUCCCCCAAGAGUCCACAUCGACGGGGAGGUUUGGCACCUCGAUGUCGGCUCAUCGCAUCCUGGGGCUGUAGUCGGUCCCAAGGGUUGGGCUGUUCGCCCAUUAAAGCGGUACGCGAGCUGGGUUCAGAACGUCGUGAGACAGUUCGGUCCCUAUCCGUCGCGGGCGCAGGAAAUUUGAGAGGAGCUGUCCUUAGUACGAGAGGACCGGGAUGGACGCACCGCUGGUGUACCAGUUGUUCUGCCAAGGGCAUCGCUGGGUAGCUAUGUGCGGACGGGAUAAGUGCUGAAAGCAUCUAAGCAUGAAGCCCCCCUCAAGAUGAGAUUUCCCAUUCCGCAAGGAAGUAAGAUCCCUGAAAGAUGAUCAGGUUGAUAGGUCUGAGGUGGAAGUGUGGUGACACAUGGAGCUGACAGAUACUAAUCGAUCGAGGACUUAACCAA
rnacentral:rRNA from 1 species